rnacentral:piRNA from 1 species
GAUUUGUCUUGAGUUGAAGGCCAAAGU